GACGAACGCUGGCGGCGUGCUUAACACAUGCAAGUCGAACGGAAAGGCCCUGCUUUUGUGGGGUGCUCGAGUGGCGAACGGGUGAGUAACACGUGAGUAACCUGCCCUUGACUUUGGGAUAACUUCAGGAAACUGGGGCUAAUACCGGAUAGGAGCUCCUGCUGCAUGGUGGGGGUUGGAAAGUUUCGGCGGUUGGGGAUGGACUCGCGGCUUAUCAGCUUGUUGGUGGGGUAGUGGCUUACCAAGGCUUUGACGGGUAGCCGGCCUGAGAGGGUGACCGGCCACAUUGGGACUGAGAUACGGACCAGACUCCUACGGGAGGCAGCAGUGGGGAAUAUUGCACAAUGGGCGGAAGCCUGAUGCAGAAACGCCGCGUGCGGGAUGACGGCCUUCGGGUUGUAAACCGCUUUCGCCUGUGACGAAGCGUGAGUGACGGUAAUGGGUAAAGAAGCACCGGCUAACUACGUG
rnacentral:rRNA from 1 species